UGUCAGAAGUCUUUGCUAAAAUCCCUCUUCUUCUAUUGCACAUAUUGGCAACCCAGUUAAUGCAUAUAGUUUUGGCUAUACAUCCUCCACUUAUCUUCACUUAUUUCAUUCACAAGGGGCAGAACCAAGAUUUUGAAAUGUGCAGUGACACAACCAAAGGAAUUUCUAGACAGGAGGGCUGGUCUCCAAACCAUUGCAGAGGUUUUUUUUCCCCCCAGGCAGGCUGCAAACUAGAUCUAUGCAAUCAGACUUUUUUGUGCUCAGAAACAGUACUUCCCCUCUAUUUUUAUUUGUUUGUUUGUUUUGCCAUCAAGUCUAGCACAAAAUUCAAAACGUACUGGAAUUUGUAUUUUAUUCAAUUGCAAAUCUUGAAAACGACAUUAAACCCUUUGAAAUAAAUGACAAUAUCUCAAAGAAAUGCAAUGAAAUGCAGAUUAUACAGCCCAGAAUUUGAAGCACGAUGACUAUAAUCUUAUGUAUGCUAACCAAGGAUUAAAUUCCACCAAGCAAAGUAUUUUACUUCAAAGUAUUUUAUUUCAAAGUAAAAUUAUUCUGAAUUGUUCUUGUAACAAUUUUAAAAAGUUGUUUGAUUUUUUCACAAAUGAGUAGACUUUCAGAGCAAGGGUAAAUAAUCAGUGUCCCCAGUGUAAGAAAUUACUAUCAUCUAAAUCAUAUCAUAUUGGGAAAUAAAUUUAGUUUUAAAAUAUCAUUAUUUUAACAAAUGUUGAUGCAUUCAUGUUAGAAAACCUGUUAAGAAACAGCAACAAUAUUAGAGAUAGGUUUUACAUACAACUUUUAUUUGCAGAAUCCAAAUUGUUAAACAACUUGGAAUGUUGCCUAAUGCCUAUAGAAUAACAUUGGAUCUGAUGUGGACUUUGUCCUGCAAAUGUAAAGGCUCCAAUUUAUGGAAAACCUUAGAAUUAGCAUAGGAAUUAUCUGAGCAGAAAGGAAGGAGGCAACUUUUACAGCCCUCUCCGACUCUUCAGGGAGAUUUAGGAAGCACAGGCUUCUGGAUGGAAACUUUCCCUUGGAGAAUUCUGCUUCAAUGAUGAUCAUGCCAGGAGAAUCAAAGUCUGGAUCCGACCCAUUUAGUAAUUCUGUCUUUAUAUUUUUUUACCUUAGAUAAGCUUGCUCUUUUCCCAGAUAAAACCAUUAAAAACGUCAAUAGCUUUCUUUAAUUCUAAUUCAGCCUGUCUGCAGUAUGAUGAUUCAUUCUUUUUGAACAAAAUGGUGUGUUUCUGUUUCUUCUGCUCUGUGAAUUUGCUGGACUUAGGUAUAUUAAUUAAUGCCUAAAAGUUUUUUUUCAAGUACAUCUAGCGUGGAAGCACAAGAGUAUAUGUUCUAUUGAACAAUUUAAUUCAAUUGAACAAUUGCUUCUUUCCUUUCCAAAGACUGUUGUGUGUGAGGGAGGAAAAAAGGUGUUAUUAAUAAAGAACCCUUUACUUUUAAACAAUAGUAAACAUGUUUUGCAUGUCAUUGUGAUACCUAGUUCACAAUGGGCAAACCUAGAGUAGAUAAAUAUUUGGAAAUUAGUCACGUUGCUAAUUCCUUCAUUGUUUUUCAAAUAACAAGAAAUAGCACAAGCUUAAUAGUUCUAUCUUUGAUUCAUAACUUACCAGCCUGAAGUGCAAAUUGCAUGCAAUAAUAUUGCAAAAAAUGAAUAAAUAGCACACAAGAAUCCCAUUUUUUUUCUUUGACCUAACCUUUUCUCUGUAAUCUUCCUUGCAUGAUUGUGCUUUUCAUUUUAAGGCAAAAAAGGAGAUGUGGGGGGUGUGGGGGGGGGGACAUCUUUCGCCAUGGCUUCCAGACCCUUUUUAAAAACCUGUAGCUGUUUUUAAGAGCGGUGUAUUUUAGAUAUCAUCAUUUCAGUUAAGAGCUGAAUGGGAGUCCUUGUCACAUCUAUCAAACUGCUACUUAAUUAGGCAGAAGAGUUGCUGAUGAACCCCUGUCCCUCAAGGGCCUCAAUUCUCUCAAACAAGGUAGAAAGAGUUUGAUACCAGAAGCUUCCCUGGGGAGUGUUUUUUAUCAGCAGAACAAAAUACAGAGAAAGGAGGCCUGGCAAGCAGAGUGUAGAAUUGCACUUUUAAAACUUGCUGUAUUUGAGCACAUAAGCUUAGGUUUCUUUGCAGUCGAGUUUCUGUGAUAAGACUGAAGCAUCUUACUUGGUUUUUGAUUUAGAUUAACAAACAGACCAAUUUGGUCGAAAGUUCAGAUAAGAUGCUGACACUUAAAUUCAGGAUAGGAAAGAAACGACUUGUGAAGAUGCAUGACAAGUUGUAUGUGGUGUGGGUGUCUUUUAAUCUUCUUAUUUAAUUGAUUCAGGGUCCAUAGCCACUAUCCUUUACUCCAAAUCUAGUUUGGGUUGAGUUUCCCAAUGGAAACGGAAGAAGGUUACCUGAUCAAAUCCUAAAUAGGUUUUCUAUGAAUAAAUGGAGCUAAGCAAUUGUUAAUACCCAAUUCUCAGCCUUUUGGCUAAGAUCGAGCAGAAUAUCAAUACCCCACUUUAUUCCAUCUUUCCCAUUUCAUUCAGAGAACAUCUCUAUUUAUUAUGCAUGACUAUUCUCCUGUUUACAAAUGUGGGUGGGAAAGAGACAAUUUGUGAAUAUUAUCUGGGAUAGGGAAAACCUAUUUGGUACAUAUUUAUUUCUGGUGUUUAUGCUUUCUAUUUACAUAAAAUUUCUUGCAUAUAAUUACAUGUAAUUUCAUAUUCUUCCCUCAAUAAGGCAGUUCUAAUCUACUGCAUUCUAAAUAGUCUUCCAUAUUAUACUUACUCUCUUAUGUGCAACUCUUAUGUUCUUGUAUAGCAGCUAUGAAGCUCUACAAAACGUAGAAAGUGAUAUAUGUGAAUACAGUGUUUGCCAUUUCAUUUCUUGAGGACUGGUCUCAAUCAUGCUAUCACAUCAGCAUCUAACUACUAGACUUGAAAUAGUUUAAAAAUAGAAUAACUUAAUUCUUGCUGUAGUCAUCAUGUCCCUCCCAGCCUAGGUUUUAGCAAUUUUUUAAAAUAAAGAAUUGUUUGCACAAUGUGAUUCCUUUUCCUAUCCCUCUCCAACCAUUAUCUCUAAUUCAUCUUCCUCCAUUUAAGAAAUCUAUGUGUUGAUUUUAAGAAGCUUUUAUUCUACAAAUAUUAAUAUGGAAUAUAUCUUGAUAUAUGAUUUUACCAUAUCCAUGAUAAAAAUGGUUCUGAUAUCCAUAUAAGUCACCUAGAAAUGUAUAGAAUAGAAAUAAAUAUCAAUAGAAGAGAACAUUUGUAGCUCAUGGUUGACUCCCAUAAAUACAUAUUUUAUUUAUUUUAUAUUCUAUUUUUCUGUGUGACUAGGGGUGGGCUGCUAGGGGUUCGCAAGGGUUCGGGAGAACCUCUAGCUAAGAUUCUGUGCAGUUCGGAGAACCCCCAAAUCCCACUCCUGCCUGGCCUCUCCCGCCCCUCUCCUCCCAGGAGUCACCACACGACACAUUUUGGAUGCAGGAUUUGCCAGUGUCAUCACCAUUGCCCACAUCCAGCUGAGAGCUCUUUUUGUGUCCCUGUGAAGUUACCCUCUGAAGUGGUCCCCAGUAAACUCAUGGUCGCCCGCUUUCAAACUGCUGGGUUGGCAGGAGAUGGAGCAAGUGAUAGGAGUUCACCCCACCCCAUGGCAGCAAUGGGUCUCAAAUACGUGCGUGCCGAUUGGUAGCCCAGCAUUCUAACUUGGUGAGCCACCACAUUCCCAUCUUUGUAAUUAUGACCAAAUUGUAUUAUCUUUGAUUUGAACAUUAAUUGUACGCCAACUCUUUCAGCAAAGUUGAAGUCUAGCUUUUAAAUUAUCAAAACUGAGUAGUUAACCCAUGCAUCAGAAUUAGAAUUUGAGAAUAUUCAGUCAGGUUUAUCUGCAGAUAAUAAUUUAAGGAAGAUGUUGGGAGAUGGCCAUCACAGAGAAAGUGGCAAGGAUAGCUCCAGUUAGUUUUCUAACUCAGCCAACAAGUAGAAAGACAGGGUUUAUUUCAGUGGUGAAAUGUGAACCGGUUUACUACCGGUUGGCUGGCUAUGCAUGCACGCUGCGUGCGGACGUGGGCAGUGCAUACCAUGCACCAAAUGCAAGGUGCAUACAGUGCAUGCCAAAGGAGGCAUGGGGUAAGUAGAACAGUGCGGGGGGAGGAAUCAGCUGUGGCAUGCAAUCUUUUUUUUUUUUUACUUUUAAAAGCAUUUUUUUACAACCUAUUCGGCCACAUAGGUUGUAAAAAAUGCUUUUAAAAGUAAAAAAAAAAGGCUCUGACCAUCACAUGGCUCAGCUGUGAUCAUCAGAGCCUUACCUUUUAAAAGCAUUUUUUAAAAGAAGCAGCAAGUGGGCGGACCGGGCGAUUUGGGGAAGGGAUUUUUGCUACCAGUUCUCCAAGCCACCCGCUACCAUCGCUACCGAAUCAGCCAAUCCAGUCCGAACUGGGAGCAUUUCACCCCUGGUUUAUUUUGCUACAAUCUUUAUCUGUCUGGGAAAAUUACUGAGAUAUUUUUAAUCCUGGUUUAUUGCUCCGAGAAAAGAUGUUGCAAAUUUAGGUCAGAAUGUCACAUUAGUAUAUCAGUCCUUCUAACAUGAAAGAUGAAUCUAACUCACUCGUUCCCAACAUUGUUUAGUAGAUAUUAUAUUCAGUGAAUUUUAUUUCAGUUUUCUUUUUUUUACAGACAUUUCAAAUGUAUAUAAUAGAGACAAAACAUAAACUAUUAACCAAUUUCUAUUGCAAGCCAGAAAAAUAAUAGAACAUUAAAUGGAGAACUUUUAGCUAAUGGUGUAAAAAAAUUUUUAAAUAUUUUGUCUGCCAACUUCCCUGACAUCAAUAAUUGAUAGUGGAUUUUAAAUCUCCAUGACUCAUAGCAGCUGAUAAAAGCUUCAGAAGAAAAAGCAGUAUAUUCAAUACUAUAUUCUGUCUUUGGUACGAAUGAGGAUUUCAUGAACUGAAGACAAAACAUGAGCUUGUUCAAAUUCCAGUGGAACCUUGUUCUAGAUAAGUGUGUUUCAGGUUGCUAUUUUCCCAUUGACUGCUACAUUUCUCAUAUAUUAAAUUAUAACUUGGAAGUAACUGGAUUAGAAAAUAGGAGUUAACAUAAAUAGGUCCUUUAAAAAGCACAGUGCUCUCAAAGACUUCUUGUCUUAGAGUUUACUAGCCAGAGAUUAUAAUUUUAACCUCUUCAAGGAGUAUUUCAAAGCUAUUCUGCCUUUGGAACCUGCAGAAAUGUCAUAUUAGGGUCUUGUAACUCUCUUUCCUAUUCUUCUUAAUGACUCAGCCAAGACUAGAAGAAAGAAAAUAAACUAUAGGAUGACAGGACUAAAGCAGAAAAUAGUGUUCUAAUAAAAUCAAAUCAUUUGAAUUAGGCUGGGACUAUUACUAAUAGGAAAUUGCUUUAUUUUAAUCUUAUUACUGAUCCGUCAUCCUUCUCAAUAUGUAUUUUAAAAUGUAGAUUUGAAUAACUUGCAUGUGGUUCUUGGAAAUCAACAGUAUUUCUUAUUGUUCACUUUGUUUCUUAAGAAAAGCAAGGCAUGCAGAAGAAAGGGAAAAGGCAUGCAUAUGAAACUAAGGCAGAAGAGGAAGGUGUCUUCAGGAGGAAUGAGAUUAUUUUGUCACUGGGUUCAACAUUAUGAAAAUAUAUAAGGGUUUUGGGUCUCUAUGGAUAGAACUGAAAGCUUUGGUCAUUUGUCAAGUGUUUCUGCUGGAGUACAAGUGAAAGCAAUGAAGUCAUACUUACUAACAAACCCUGAGAAAAUAAUCAGCUUACUAGGAUGCAAUUGCCUAUGAUUUUUCUGGAAACUCUUCUGUUAUCUUGAAUUCUAUACAAGAUACAGAGGAUGAUGGCAUUUCAUCUACUCACCCACAGAACAGGGUGGAUGCAAAAUGUGAUUAUUUCCAACAGUUUUGCUUCACUCCCACAUUUUAAUAUGCUACAUUUGGAUGAUGCAUCAUAGAUUACAGUCAUUUGGUGUACUAGCCUAGGACUGGGGAGCUCCAGGUCCAAGACCGUUUUUCUAUCCACCCUAGAAGUUAACCUACAGGGUUAGUGUGGGGAAAAUCUUGGAGGAGGUAAAUGCUAUUGCAAGGCACCUUGAGUUCCUGGAGGAAGGACAAGAUAUAAAUCUAGCAACUAAAUGCUAUGGCAAAAGGGGAGCUUUGGGAGUGGGUUUUUAAAAUAAUUCCUGUUAAACACUUGUACUGUCAUUUUAAAACCAUUUUGAGCUGCCAAUAAAUCAUCCCAUGUGAAAUAUUUCUCUGUAGGUAAAGCAGUCAAGAGUUUUUUCCCAUUGCCUGAAGGCUGGG